GAGUAACACGUGAAUAAUCUAUCCUCAAGUUUGGGAUAACCUGGCGAAAGUCGGGCUAAUCCGAGGUAAGCUGAGAGUGUGGCAUCACACAAUCAGAAAAGGUGGCAUUNCCAUCGUUUGAGGAGGAGUUCGCGGUAGAUUAGCUAGCUGGUGAGGUAACGGCUCACCAGGGCAACAAUCUAUAGCUGGUCUGAGAGGACGAUCAGUCACACUGGAACUGAGACACGGUCCAGACUCCUACGGGAGGCAGCAGUGGGGAAUCUUCCACAAUGGGCGCAAGCCUGAUGGAGCAACGCCGCGUGAAUGAAGAAGGCCUUAGGGUCGUAAAGUUCUGUCCUUAGGGAAGAACCGUGGGUAUAGCAAAUGAUACCCACCUGACGGUACCUUGGAGAAGCGC
rnacentral:rRNA from 1 species